GACGAACGCUGGCGGCGUGCUUAACACAUGCCAGUCGAACGGAAAGGCCGGGCUUUUGUGGGGUGCUCGGGGGGCGAACGGGUGAGUAACACGUGAGUUACCUGCCCUUGACUUUGGGAUAACUUCAGGAAACUGGGGCUAAUACCGGAUAGGAGCUACUGCUGCAUGGUGGGGGUUGGAAAGUUUCGGCGGUUGGUGAUGGACUCGCGGCUUAUCAGCUUGUUGGUGGGGUAGUGGCUGACCAAGGCUUUGACGGGUAGCCGGCCUGAAAGGGUGACCGGACAAGUUAGGAAUGAAAUACGCCGCAGACGCCUACGGGAGGAAAGAGUGGAGAAUAUUACACAAUACGAGGAAGCCUGGUCUAGCCAAGAAGCGUGCGGGAAGACGGCCUUGGGGUUGUAUAGCGAUUUCGCUUGUGACGAAGCGUGAGUGACGGUAAUGGGUAAAGAAGCACCGGCUAACUACGUG
rnacentral:rRNA from 1 species